GGGGGUGUUUGGUUUCGACAGAAGUUUCUGUAAAUUGAAAAUGCAAGUCGAGUUUGUUAGUUUACUCGUAAAUCCAACUAACAACCUGUAAGUGCAAAUACACUUGCUAGCAAGGUGAAAGGACUUUUCCAAGUUCCUAAUCUUGCGCCAGUCGUUGCUUAAAUUUUAAGCGAUGACCGUCUUUCUUUUUGUGCCCGGCAAAAAGGUCAAGACGCCAUACCUCGGGCUCGGUAAUUAAUCUGCUUGGGCUAAUUACUUAAAUAUUUCAAGCUAGAAUUAAAAGUUUUUUACUUGUUUCAAGCUUUUAAUUCGAAAUCUUUAAACAAGUUAAGCUUGUAGAAAUUUUUAGUUUGCUCUUCUGGACGGGAGUUCGAUUCUCCCCACCUCCACCA
rnacentral:tmRNA from 1 species